rnacentral:lncRNA from 1 species
CCGCUCCGAGCGAGCCGGCAGCGGCCGUGGCGGAGGGAUACGGAGCGCCGUAUAUAUACCGCGGGGCGCAGGCUCGCACUUCGGCAGUGGUGCUGGGAGCCUCGCGGGAGCGGUGCCGUUACUCGCAGUCGGGCGGCGGCAGCGGCACAGCGCUGAGCGCACAUUGCGCCUUAGCAGCAGCAGCAGCAGCAGCAGCAGCGGAGGUACCCCAGCCGUCACAGCCCCUGCGCUGGUGCAGCCACCCUCGCUCCCUCUGCUCUUCUUCCCUUCGCUCGCACCAUGGCUGAUCAGCUGACUGAAGAACAGAUUGCUGGUAAGUUGAUGACCUCAGGGAGUCCCGUAGGCCAGAACCAGGCAUGACUCCAUUCGGGUGACUUCUCUGACCCUUCCCCCCCCCCCCAUAAUUUGAGCAGUUUUCUAAGAACUUAUUUAAAUGGAAGCAAUAAGCAGAAAUAUUUAGGUCAGGUGUUAAUUCCUUGCCAGUGUUUCAGAGGCAUUGGGAAAGGAAGUGGAGCUAGGAAUCCUUGUUUCAUUCUGGACUGUUUGGCUGCUUCCUGGUGGUCAUGGCUUUGCAUGUCACGAGAGUGCCCUGUGCCUGCUGCUCCCAGAUGGAGUUGAGAAUUCUUAUGCCAGAGGUCUCUUCGUAAUUCACCGUGAAGGCUUGUGCUUGCUAUUUGAAAAUACAUGGGAAUGGGUGGAAAUGAGGGUUAGGACUACUAGAACAGUUGCAGAGGGAGUUAGUUUAGAUUCUAGCUUUUAGUAUUCCUUGGAGGACUUUUUGGAGAUGAUUUCUCUUUAGGAAACCAGGGAUGCCUUUGAAAUGCCAUAAGUGCCAUAUAGACAGAACACGUUGGUUACUUGGGAAUGUACAUUUCUAGUUACCCCUUCCUGUUGCUGUGAAAGCAACAUUUCCUGUGGCUGUAGCAAUUUAAUAGGAAGGGGCCCUAAGGGAACAUGUGGACCAAUCUUCACUUGUCAGAUCGGAUUGAGGACCUAAUUUAAUUGUGUUUAAGCUUAAUUUUCUUUAAAAAUGUGAGAAUACCAUGGUUUCAUGGAACCGGUUACCAGGAGCAGUG